rnacentral:sRNA from 1 species
AUGGUGGCAGGGAAGGCCUCAUUGAGGCGACACUGGAGUGAAAUUUGAAGGUCAUGGCAUGAACCAUGUGACCAAGGAAGCAGCAAACAAACCCUGAGGCAGCAACAGCAACUCACCACCAGCCUUGGGCCCAGAAGCAUGCCCUGUCUCCCUGCCCAGUCCCCCGGAAGCCCCCACACUCAAGGGCCCUCAACCUGAGGCAGAUCUUCCUAGGAGCCCUGGCAACUUGACGGAGAGAGAAGAGCUGGCAGGGAGCCUGGCCCGGGCUAUUGCAGGUGGAGACGAGAAGGGGGCAGCCCAAGUGGCAGCCGUCCUGGCCCAGCAUCGUGUGGCCCUGAGUGUUCAGCUUCAGGAGGCCUGCUUCCCACCUGGCCCCAUCAGGCUGCAGGUCACACUUGAAGACGCUGCCUCUGCCGCAUCCGCCGCGUCCUCUGCACACGUUGCCCUGCAGGUCCACCCCCACCGCACCGUUGCAGCUCUCCAGGAGCAGGUGGGCACAGGGUCUGGGGAGCCCUGCCAGGGGCAGAGGAGCCUAGGUGACAUCACCUGCCCUGAUGCUCUGACCACAGGUGUUCUCAGAGCUCGGUUUCCCGCCAGCCGUGCAACGCUGGGUCAUCGGACGGUGCCUGUGUGUGCCUGAGCGCAGCCUUGCCUCUUACGGGGUUCAGCAGGAUGGGGACCCUGCUUUCCUCUACUUGCUGUCAGCUCCUCGAGAAGCCCCAGGUCAGUCCUCGAUGGGGGUGGGGUGUG